CAAGGUUAUUGGCCGCCAUCUUGGACUGGGGGCAAACAUUGGGGGCUGACGUCACAAAAACAAUGGCCGAAUCGAGCUCCGCAGCUGACGAUGCAGCGAAUAUAAUCGCCGCGUAUAAUUUACCUGCGUCGUAACAAGUGUACCUAGGUGUGCAGAAGAGACCCCAAGAAGAGAGGAUGUCCUAGAAACACCUGGAGGCUUGACUCGGAGUCAGAGUUAAAAACACAGGAUAUGACAAGGCAGGAUGCAGCUAAAGCAGCUCCAAAUCGAGUUCGUUGGAGGACUGUCGUCGAUGGCCUAUGUUCCUCAUAGAACGACGGGCCGAAGUAAGUACAUGAAAAGAGUGCUCUUUCAACACUGCAUGGCAAUAUAAACAGUAUAUGCCUCAAAUUUUGAAGAAUCCUCAAUUCAAAUCCAGACUGUGGCAGCCCUACCAUGUAGCUGUUGGACUCGUAUGGGAUAACAAUAAUCAAAAGUCACGAUAUCCACGCAUGGAUUUUAUCUCAUCUUGAUUAAAUGUAGAGAAAUCAUAUACAGUCUAUUUUGUGAUAGAAACUGAAAGAGAGAGGGCUUAACAUUGUCCUUUUGAAUUUGCUAGGACAUUUUUUAUGAACUUUAGAAUACCGCUCAUGUACAUAUUUUUGUUGAAAGAUAAAGUACACUUAUUAACAUCAAAAUACUGAUUAGGCCAUUCCAAUUUUUUUUAUGUUUAGUGUCUGCGUGCGCCUUGGUUUUUGACACCCCAUGUCAGAAAAAACAAACAGAAUUGGGAGUUCGAAAAUUGAUUAUUCAGGUCAAAAUUUUUGAUUUCCA